UACGUAGGGUGCAAGCGUUGUCCGGAAUUAUUGGGCGUAAAGAGCUCGUAGGCGGUUUGUUGCGUCGGCUGUGAAAUCCCGAGGCUCAACCUCGGGUCUGCAGUCGAUACGAGCAAACUAGAGUGUUGCAGGGGAGACUGGAAUUCCUGGUGUAGCGGUGAAAUGCGCAGAUAUCAGGAGGAACACCAAUAGCGAAGGCAGCUCGCUGGGACGGUACUGACGCUAAGGCGCGAAAGCGUGGGGAGCGAACGGG
rnacentral:rRNA from 1 species